ensembl:lncRNA
CCUGGGCGGGAGCGGCAGCGGGCUGUGGGCCUGCAGUGUGGCGGCCGCUGAGAACACCCGACUUCAGUUUCACCUGUGACAGUGGCCUCUCUGUAGCAGUUCUGCACUUGGUGGGGGAAAAAUUAACCCGGCCAUACCAGUUCAUCUGCAAGUCCUGCUGUGGUCCAAGGGAAGGAGAUGGCUGUGCAGAAGUCACCAAACUGCAUCUUCUGUCCAAGGAAGCAAACGGCAUGCGGCCCUCUCAGUAAGAAGGUGGCUGCCUCAUCCACCAUGCAAGAUACGUGUAUGUCUACUGCCCUUACUCAAGGUUUUGAAAGGUGCUGCGGAGGAAGACACAGUACUCUCAGCCUAAGUAGGCACGGUAAGCGAGUGAGACUGUCAGAUGGCCUCAGGGCUGGCCUAACUUUAUUCCUGUUGAAGUCAGCGAUAAAACUCCCAUAAACCGAGCUUUUUGAAAAUCCCACCCUCGGGGCACUAAGGUACUUAAAGGAAGAGGCUGGAAAUCGUGCAGGCUUUAGAUUCAAUUUGGAUCACUUUUUAUAUACUUCUUGCAGUGUUCCGAGCCACAGAACAGCGAUGAUAACGGGUUCCUCGUUCUAUUUCACUGUGUGGAAGCAUGGAGGACGGAUACUGUAACUCAUGCAGUAAAAUGCUGUCUGGCUGAAAGCACCGGUGCAUUUUGAAGAGGAAAGAGAAUCUUGCAGCAAAGGGCCAGGGCCGGCACCCAGGAGAUCUGGUUUUAUUUCUCAGUUCUGACACGGGCUUCCUGUAUGACCUCAGCAGAGUCAUGUAAUUGCUUGGUGCCUCAGUCCAUCAUCUCCUUAAUAGGGUUACUACUUACUUAUUUCCUUUCUCCCGCCCUGGCCUGUCUUACUUAGGCUGCAAUUCUGGCAGGGAGUAGAGCAUUUCUGACCACGUGCGGGGCCUUCACCUAGCACAGUGAGGCAUAAUGGCAGUGCCUGUGCAGCAAUGCAGUGUCAAUUAAAUAAAUAAAUGAAGAUGAUAAUAUCAUUUCGGACUAGAACUUCAGCUUGUAACCCAGCCCAAGGUCAAAGCAUGGUAUGGAACCGUGCGACGUGGAACCUUGGGACCUGAGGAAAUGCUGCCCCCGAGCAUGGACAGGUUUGGGGAAGGCUUUGGUGUUGGUGACAGCCAGCAGCUGGCCUGCUUGGGCUCCUCGUGGUGGUUGAGGAAGCCUCAUCACUCACAGCCUUGCGUGGUCUUUGGUCGUAACUUUGAUCUAGAGAAUAAUUCUGUGUGGAAACGCUUCAGAAGCACACCUGCUUUAACCCGAGUCAACACGUUUUGUACUGAAUCCAGGCCGUGGCUGAGGUUGACAUAGAGCUGGGCAAGAGCUGAUAGGCGCACACUGCUACACGGUGCUUUGUAAGGACAUUCGUGUUGAGAGUGCUGUGUUCCCUGUUUGUGGGUCACCCCUUUAC